rnacentral:tRNA from 1 species
GGCUCUAUAGUGUAGUUGUUAGCACGUCUGCUUUACACACAGAAGGUCCUGGGUUCACGCAGGUGGAGCCA